AAGUAUUAUAUUGAUAUUUUUAAAUUAAAUAUAACGAAUCUACACUCUAAUUCUUCUUUUAAACCUAGGUACAAUAACAGAAAGAAACAUAAUAAUUCAAUCACCGUAUUUAAAACACGUUGAUUGAAUUAUCGUAUUCAACUUAAAAAUACUAUCUAGAUGCUCGCGUAGAAGAGAACUAGUUAUAUAAAUAAAAAUUUAUUAGGAUAAUUUAUAAAAUAAAAAAUUUUGAGGA
rnacentral:lncRNA from 1 species